AUCGCUUCUCGGCCUUUUGGCUAAGAUCAAGUGUAAUAAUUAUUCAACAAUACAUUAUCUUCUAACUAGCACAUAACAAGAAAAGUUUUGUAAAUCAAGGUUUUUCACAAGUGAAGCUAAUCCAGAUUUCAAAUUGGAAAGCUUUUUCUCAUGAGAUAAAAUCC
ensembl:snRNA U2 U2 spliceosomal RNA